UACGGGGGGGGCAAGCGUUGUUCGGAAUUACUGGGCGUAAAGGGCUCGUAGGCGGCCAACUAAGUCGGACGUGAAAUCCCCAGGCUCAACCUGGGAACUGCGUCCGAUACUGGAUGGCUUGAAUUCAGGAGAGGGAUGCAGAAUUCCAGGUGUAGCGGUGAAAUGCGUAGAUAUCUGGAGGAAUACCGGUGGCGAAGGCGGCAUCCUGGACCGACAUUGACGCUGAGGAGCGAAAGCUAGGGGAGCAAACGGG
rnacentral:rRNA from 1 species